CGGGGCGUAGCGCAGCCUGGUAGCGCACUUGCAUGGGGUGCAAGGGGUCGAGUGUUCGAAUCACUCCGCCCCGACCA
rnacentral:tRNA from 1 species